AAAGCCCUAAAAAUCCCAACAAUGCAAGAAUGAGGAAACAGUAGAAAAUCCUCCUUCAGCCACCACGACUGGAAUGAUGUUAAAGUUUCUACACUGGUUGUAUCUGUGUACUUCACAAUCUGGGAUGGCGUUAGUUGCGGUUGCUGCACAGGUUUUACAACAAUGCUUCUACGUCCUGUGAGAAUCCAUGGCAUUUGAGCUAUAGUUUCUUGUGAGUUGUAACGGUGGGGCCGUACCAUUGUCAACUCCAAGCAAUGCUGCUAGUCCAACUCUCAGUUCCUCCAUGCUUGGAUUCAUCCCUCUAAUUAUACCGUUGUUCAUUUUGUAAUUGCAAUUUCUAACUUGGCUGUAGGGCUUCAAGAUUAAACUUCACUGAAACCAUGACCAAGAUCAUUAAGGAGAUGUUGCCUCCACAUGUACGCGUCGCAAGAGAUGCUCAAGAUCUUCUCAUCGAGUGUUUUGUAGAAUAGGCAAACAGCUUUAUUUUCUGCAACCCAGACUAAGAAGGUUGAAGAUCUUGCUGGCUUUUCCUUCCAGACAACGCCUAUGUAUAUAGAUGUGGAUGAUGGGAGAUCUAAGGCCACGAAUAUAUAUAGGGCUGCAACAGGGCUAUUGUCUUGUGCCAAGUGCCAAGAGAUUUUAUUCUCCUAUAUUCUUUCCUGACGAGGAAUCUAUCAAAGAAAGUGAUGGUCUUCUUCUCUUCUUGCAACUCAGUAAAAUUCCACUCUGACCUUCUUAGAUACGUUAUUGUGGAUUGCUUUGAUAUCCAUGGAAAGCAAAAGCAGCAGAAGAGGACAGGUACUUUUUUUUACUACUGCAAAGCAGAGAAAAUAAUCUUACUUUGUACUGAGGUUGGUGCUCGUGGACCGGGUAUCCCUGCCGUGGACUGGAUUAUGCAGUGUGAUCCUCCAGAUGAACCCAAGGAAUAUAUCCACAAGGCUGGUCGAACAGCUCGUGGGGAAGGUGGAAAAGGAAAAGCACUACUUUUCCUCAUUCCCGAAGAGUUGCAGGCUAUUUGAGGGCAUGGUUCAUAUACUGAUGAAAAGAAUACCAAAAAAAAAAAAAGAAACUGAAAUAGAAUCCAAGUAUAAGCUACUAACUUGAAAGCAAAAGUCCCUGUUAAAGAGUACGAAUUUAAUCAGAAGAAGCUAAAAAAAUGUGCAAUCUCAGCUGGAGAAGUUAGUUGCCAACAACUACCAUCUGAACCGUGCAGCAAAAGAUGCAUAUAGGUCUUAUCUAUUAGCAUAUAAUACACACUCUAUGAAGGACAUCUUUAAUGUUCACUGGCUUGAUCUCCAGGCUGUUGCUUCUUCAUUUUGCUUUUCUAAUCCACCCAAGGUAAAUUUAAACUUAGACAGCAGUGCAUCAAUGUUCAGGAAGAACAUGCACAGAGUGGAUGGAAUUCGACAUGGAAUCAAUCCUAGAAAUCCUUAUGGAAGGAAGGCAAAACGGUGGAGAUGAUACAAGACAAUUUGUGAGGCAUCAGGAUAUAGAAGCCUCACCCUGCAGCUCUGCAGUAAUUCUGCACAAGUUUUGUAUUUUUUUUUGGCUGAUGGAACAAAUUAAAAUGAAACAAAGUUUUUCUGGGGUUUUCGUUCCUUUCACUCUAAUCUUGUAACAAUGGAGACACUGUAAACCUCAAAAAGUUUUUAGUUGGUCUAUUAGACACAAUGAUACAUGUCUUCUUGACUACUUCAGUGGAUAAACAAAAAGGACUUCAUAUUAAUGUCUAUCCUACAACAUGUGGAUGCAGGAUUAUGCCUUACGUUUA